AUUGAACGCUGGCGGCAGGCUUAACACAUGCAAGUCGAGCGGAUGAAAGUAGCUUGCUACUGGAUUCAGCGGCGGACGGGUGAGUAAUGCUUAGGAAUCUGCCUAUUAGUGGGGGACAACGUUCCGAAAGGAGCGCUAAUACCGCAUACGUCCUACGGGCGAAAGCAGGGGACCUUUGGGCCUUGCGCUAAUAGAUGAGCCUAAGUCGGAUUAGCUAGUUGGUAGGGUAAAGGCCUACCAAGGCGACGAUCUGGAGCGGGUCUGAGAGGAUGAUCCGCCACACUGGGACUGAGACACGGGCCAGACUCCUACGGGAGGCAGCAGUGGGGAAUAUUGGACAAUGGGGGGAACCCUGAUCCAGCCAUGCCGCGUGUGUGAAGAAGGCCUUUUGGUUGUAAAGCACUUUAAGCGAGGAGGAGGCUACCUAGAUUAAUACUUUAGGAUAGUGGACGUUACUCGCAGAAUAAGCACCGGCUAACUCUGUGCCAGCAGCCGCAGUAAUAC
rnacentral:rRNA from 1 species